rnacentral:lncRNA from 1 species
GCCUGCUCUGUAAUCAGGAACACCGAGGCUCAGUGAGGAGCAUAAGCCUGGUCAGGUCAGGCCUGGCGGGGGAUUCGAUCCUCUGCCUGAAACCUUGGAGUGUCUGAAUGGAAAGGAGAGCAAUGAAUCAGCUUUGGUCCCCAUGCCUGUCAAAUCCUGCCUCCCAGGGUCUGAGGAGCUGCAACAAGAGUAUUCUGCACAUAGUGUGUCUGUAUACACCAUGUGAGUGUAUCUGGCUACACCCAGAUAACCUCAGUGCUUUCAAAGCCAUCAUCCCACCCCAGAAGGCCGAGGCCAGAGUGAGGCCAGUGAUCUCACCGUGGCCUUAUCUAUGUCGCUUGGGCAUGAGACUAACUCUCUCCUCAAAGCUGGGCCCAUUGCCUCCGUUCAUCACUGAACCCUCAAGUGAGAUGAGAGUUGUCAGUGCCUGAUUGAAGCAAACUAAGACUGAAGAAGAUUGAUUCCGGCUCACAGUCUGAGGAACCAGUCCAUCAAAGCAGGAAGGAGAGGUGAGACCAUUACAAAGGCCUGUACGGUGGGGUUAUUCUAAUCAUAAUGGGCCAGGAAGUAGAGACUGUGUGACAGGCACCAGAAGCAGUAACACUCAAGAGUGAGUCCACCCUAGACAACUCCCUCUCCCCCCUCACCCUCUCCAAACAUCUGGGAGUCAGAAG